rnacentral:misc_RNA from 1 species
UUCCGUAGGGGUGAACCUGCGGAGGGAUCAUUACACAAAUAUGAAGGCGGGCUGGAACCUCUCGGGGUUACAGCCUUGCUGAAUUAUUCACCCUUGUCUUUUGCGUACUUCUUGUUUCCUUGGUGGGUUCGCCCACCACUAGGACAAACAUAAACCUUUUGUAAUUGCAAUCAGCGUCAGUAACAAAUUAAUAAUUACAACUUUCAACAACGGAUCUCUUGGUUCUGGCAUCGAUGAAGAACGCAGCGAAAUGCGAUAAGUAGUGUGAAUUGCAGAAUUCAGUGAAUCAUCGAAUCUUUGAACGCACAUUGCGCCCUUUGGUAUUCCAAAGGGCAUGCCUGUUCGAGCGUCAUUUGUACCCUCAAGCUUUGCUUGGUGUUGGGCGUCUUGUCUCUAGCUUUGCUGGAGACUCGCCUUAAAGUAAUUGGCAGCCGGCCUACUGGUUUCGGAGCGCAGCACAAGUCGCACUCUCUAUCAGCAAAGGUCUAGCAUCCAUUAAGCCUUUUUUCAACUUUGACCUC